UCACUGACUUGCAACCUAGACAGCUGCACAGGACCCUGCACUUGGAAGGACCCUAUGCUUAGUUUAAUGUUCUGAUGCCACCAUCUUGAAAUUCUUAAUAAUUUUUGAACAAGGGGCCCUGUAUUUUCUUUUUUCACCGGGCUCUGCAGUUUAUGUAGCUGAUCCUGGCAUCUUGGGCAACUGGAAUACAAACUCCUUCAGUAGCUACCCUGCGCCCUUGCUCAUGAUGGACAGUGGCAUGUGCUAUCACAGGUGAAGCAACUUCUUAGCUGCUGCAUUCAACUCAUUGACAUGGAGCAUAACAAUGUGGAUGUCAUCAGGCUCAGCAGGUUCCAUGUUUGCAGGACCGUGGGCCACACCUUUGUACCUUCCUCCAUUUGGCCACCCUCAAGGGACCUUGAUGAAGCUGUUGAUACUUGUGGCUGGAAAUAACCGUCCCAGAGGUUCCAGCUGCCCCAAGAGGCAAGGCAUCAAUAUCAUACCCCAUGGUGCACUGACUCGCCAUUUGGGCCGUCCCGUGUAGGAUGCAUCCCCAAGUAUGUUACUUCAUGGUGAUUCAGUUCUGGAAGCACACAGAAGAGAUCCAAGUAAUCAAUGUGGCAAAUCUGGGACAGCUAAACUUCCUGUACAUGCACAGUGGAAAGCUGGU
rnacentral:lncRNA from 10 species